rnacentral:sRNA from 1 species
GCCAGGUGUUAUGGCGCACACCUGUAAUCCCAGCAACUCAGGAGGCUGAAGCAGGAGGAUCAGGAGUUCAAAGCCAGCCUCAACAACUUAGCAAGACCUUACGUAACUUAAUGAGAUCCUGUCUCAA